CAGGUGUGAAAGGGGAUUUUUUUCUCUACGAUACUAUGUUCAUUGUAUCCUACUAUGGUAGUCUAAACAUGGCAUUCUGUUUUUGUGGAAAUGUAUGAAACAAUAAAAUCUACCCGUUUUUUUUCCAUCUCAGGGGACAGUAAUUUUGCCACUUGUAGGCAACUGAGAAUGACAUCGCAUCAUGGCCUAGCUUCAGAAAACAGUUUCCGGCGGGAAUGGUGGGCGUUUCCUUCCAACGCCGCACCUGUCACGCAUUACCUUUCGUGGGCUACAUAAGGAUUGCCAAGCCAACAAUUUACCGUCGGAUAACUGGUCCUGCUUACAGCACACAUACGAAGUGCCUAUUUUAUAGAUGCAUGAUUCUUGCUUUUGCCGUUUUUGUCCAUGCCAUGGUUUGCCUCAUUUUGUAAGUACAGUAAAUAUUCCCAUCCCCGGAAUUCGAUGGAAAGGAAUAUCCUUCACCCAGAAUAAAAUCAUAUGCAUUAACAUUUUGACUACGAUAUUACGUGUUACCGGAAUUUGCAUAAGCGGAAAUUCCACUACCCGUAACCCGAAUGGAGGUGUAAUGCCGCGGGAGCUUAAGCGACGGGAGCGACGGAAAAGACACAACGCUAAAACAAGUUUUCACUUUGCGUUUUUCGAUCAUCAGAUUCUAAACGACGACAUGUAAGUGAGUUAUUAUUGCCGUGCAUUUUACUGUAAUUGUUAAUGAUUUUAACUUUAUUCACUUACGUCCUGGAGAACGCGGCACGAGCUUAAAAGCAGCACCCACUCGACAUGACCGAAGAAACGUUUUCACUUGGCCGUUUUCAUUCAUCAGAUUCGAAACGAAGACGUAUCAUCGCAUCGAAACGUAGAAGAACUGUAAUGACUGGAGCGGAGAAAGUGAAAUGCAUCCGUUUGAGCGAGGCUGGACACAAAGUUAAAAAGAUCCAGCAGACUAUUGGAGUCGGAAAGACGCAAAUCUACGAAACUUUCAAAAGCAAGGCAUCGAUUCAACUCCUGAUGACAAGCCACCAUCCAGCAAUGAAGCAAUGCAAAUGGCAACAAAAAUCCUUCAGUAUGCACAAGAAUGACCAGACAUCGGUGAUCAACAGGAUAGUUACUUGCAACUAGCAAGAAAACUGUAUGACACGCAGGCAAACAUUGUCAUAAACCAAAGAAUGCAUCCAACAAAACAAUCCAAAAUACAAUUUUUUUCCCCAAGACAGAAAAAAAAACAUUAAAAUACUGUAUGUAUUUUACUGUUGUGAUUUUUUUGUGAUACACCUGUAUUGCAGUUUUUGUUAUAUAAACAGUUUUUGGACAGUAUAUCUUUGUAUUUUAUUGAUUGUGUUGUUACACAUGCAUUUUGUCAACAUACUUGCAGGUUCAUAAAGGACAUGUACCAUGCUCAUUUCCCAAAUCAGGAAUAUCAGGAAUUUGUUAUCAGGACAAAUUGGACAGCGCAAACACAAGUCCGUACUAGAGAAUAUUUACUGUAAUGUUCUUGUUUUGUGUUGUAUUUUCUCGCAAGUUUUUCUUGUCUUUUGUGACAGGCCAUUUUUGUUAUUUAUUUCCUUGCCAUCUGCUUUCUUUGUUCUUUUUUAUUUCCUGGUUUGUUGACCAGCGACCCAAUUUGUACUUUGUCGGUAUCGCAUUUUUCUGUAAUCAUGUUGUUUCUGUCGGAUUAUUUUGUGCAAUCCACUUCUGUUCCGGAUUAUUCCAGUACCUCACACUGACCACCCACUGAACAUUCGGCAAGCCUCCUCGCUGCCCAUCUUCAAAGCCCUCCUCAAAACUCACUUGUCUUCUUUGGCAUUGGACUCAGCAUGACUUAAAUUUGUUCUUGAUUUUACUGUUUGGUGCUUUCUACCGCCUUUAUUACCGAUUUGUCUUACUGUUUAUUGUGCAUGUUAAGUUGCUCCAUGUACAGCACUUUGUAUGCAGCGAUGGCUGUUUGAAAGUGCUCUAUAAAUACUGUUGACAUGACUUGACUU